GACGAACGCUGGCGGCGUGCUUAACACAUGCAAGCCGAACGAAGAGCGACGGAAGCUUGCUUCUAUCAAUCUUAGUGGCGAACGGGUGAGUAACGCGUAAUCAACCUGCCCUUCAGAGGGGGACAACAGUUGGAAACGACUGCUAAUACCGCAUACGAUCUAACCUCGGCAUCGAGGAUAGAUGAAAGGUGGCCUCUACAUGUAAGCUAUCACUGAAGGAGGGGAUUGCGUCUGAUUAGCUAGUUGGAGGGGUAACGGCCCACCAAGGCGAUGAUCAGUAGCCGGUCUGAGAGGAUGAACGGCCACAUUGGGACUGAGACACGGCCCAGACUCCUACGGGAGGCAGCAGUGGGGAAUCUUCCGCAAUGGACGAAAGUCUGACGGAGCAACGCCGCGUGAGUGAUGACGGCCUUCGGGUUGUAAAGCUCUGUUAAUCGGGACGAAAGGCCUUCUUGCGAAUAGUGAGAAGGAUUGACGGUACCGGAAUAGAAAGCCACGGCUAACUACGUG
rnacentral:rRNA from 1 species